GGACUCUUCCUUAUCAAAGUUGACUACCAACGAAUACAUGCAAUUGAUUCCAAUAAUAUCUGCAGAUCAUCUGAGUAGUCACAAGUACUUGACUCAAAUGUAGUUCCUCUCAAGAACAAUCAAAUGAAUGUUUGCUGGCACCGUCCAAGCCAAAAGAGUUAAGCCUUUAUGUACGUAACCUUCAGAAUGUCAAGAAGUGGGGGGAAAAAGGAGGGUGUGCCAUCUUUUAGCCGGCCCACAGCAGUGGUCUCAUCACACUUGUAAACAUCGAGGACACGCCACGUGAUCUGUGCCAUCUUCCCACAUAUCGAUACCCAGAAGAAUUGGCUGUCAAAUUCAACGUCCAGCCGAGAGAAGAAGAUAAGACGGCGCCGGGGGGGUCAGUGGGGAACGUUCACACGAUACCUCUGCGUCUAACUGAAUCGUAGCGCUCAGUCAUUAUCAUCACUGCAUGUGCAGAGGGUCAAGAGCGCUGUUACAUGAGACAAACAUCAAGUGCUGGUACGUUAGUAGAGCAAGAGUUUUUUUUUUUUUUUUUACUUUUUUCUGCUUUACUUUUUUUUUUUAUUUGAUAGCCAUAUUUCAUAGUUUACAAGAGAAACACAAAUAUGCACCUUGAAUUUGAUUGAAAUCUGAAAGGCACAAUAAUUUUAUUGGAUUUUCGUUUUCUUUGCCAAAUACAAUAGUUGUGUACAGUAUUGUGUUUUACGGCGACUAGUGAAACUAGAUGUUGAAAUGAGGGUCUUGGACAUAUGAAUGUUCUGGGUGAACCAACAUACCUGUGUACCUUGAAAGCACAGCCAGGCUAGCUUCUCUCACCUUGUCUUGUGCCAUCAAGACCAUACAGCUAAAUAAAAUAAAACAGAGUGUUAUCUCAGCAGUGUUAUUUGUUUACCGAAGGUAAAGCAUUUUUUGUAUGGCUCUUUUAAUUUUUUUUUGUGUUGAUUUGUUUUCAAAUUAUUCAUUGUGAGUGCUUUUUAAAAAAAAAAUCUUUUUGUUUGAUUGUUCUAAAUGAAUUUGUUUAACCAAAUUAGUUUGACUGUUAAGUUUUUAAUCAGAACUGAGGGUUUUUCUAAGGUUUCUC